UACGGAAGGCAGCAGUGGGGAAUAUUGCACAAUGGGCGCAAGCCUGAUGCAGCCAUGCCGCGUGUAUGAAGAAGGCCUUCGGGUUGUAAAGUACUUUCAGUCGUGAGGAAGGUGUUAAGGUUAAUAACCUUAGCAAUUGACGUUAGCGACAGAAGAAGCACCGGCUAACUCCGUGCCAGCAGCCGCGGUAAUACGGAGGGUGCGAGCGUUAAUCGGAAUUACUGGGCGUAAAGGGCACGCAGGCGGUUAAUUAAGUUGGAUGUAAAAUCCCCGGGCUUAACCUGGGAAUGGCAUUCAAGACUGGUUAGCUAGAGUCUUGUAGAGGGGGUAGAAUUCCAUGUGUAGCGGUGAAAUGCGUAGAGAUGUGGAGGAAUACCGGUGGCGAAGGCGGCCCCUGGGACAAAGACUGACGCUCAUGUGCGAAAGCGUGGGGAGCAAACAGGGAUUAGAUACC
rnacentral:rRNA from 1 species